AGCUUUGUACAGUGAUAGUAUCAUGGCCAAUGAGGAUUAGCUGAGGUGCAGUUCUUGCUAACUGAAAAUCCCUCCCAAUAUUCAGCAUGACAACAUGCAAUGCAGUCAGCAGCAGCAAUGUUUGACAGUCUCUAAGGAGA
ensembl:snRNA U4 U4 spliceosomal RNA